AUCAGUGAGCUAGACAGUCAUCGACCAGCUAACUCACUAAGCUGCCCUUUGCAUAGCUAGCUAGUACGUGAGAAUCAAUGGCGGCAUCUAUGCGCUCUCAGUUGGUGCUACUCAGGUCACAAGGGAAGCGACUGCUGAGCUAUCGCUCAUCGUCAUCCUCCGCUGCGCCAAGACCUGUUACGCCUCCACCCCCUCCUGCAGGAGGACGUACCAGUUCCAAAAGCUCGCCCAAGUACUGGAUUUAUGGACCUCUCGGCUUAGCAUCUACGCUAUCCUUGACGAUGCUACUCACCCCCUCAUCCUCCGAUGCGGCAGCAACUGAUGGUGCUGUUAUCGCUGGACACGUACCUUAUGAACCCCCUUCUAAAAAGACAGCAUAGCUGUGAGAUCAUGAUACAGUGACCUAGAAUGGAGGUUACGUACUUCUGUAUCACUAUUGUCAUAUUGAUUUUUCUUUCGACA